rnacentral:rRNA from 1 species
UACAGAGGCCUCGAGCGUUAGGCGGAAUCACUGGGCUUAAAGCGUGUGUAGGCGGACUGGUAAGUACCUUGUGAAAUCCCACAGCUUAACUGUGGAACUGCUCGGUAUACUGCUGGUCUUGAGCCACUCAAGGGGCUACCGGAACAAAUGGUGGAGCGGUGAAAUGCGUAGAUAUCAUUUGGAACGCCAAUGGUGAAAACAGGUAGCUGGGGGUGUGCUGACGCUGAGACACGAAAGCCAGGGGAGCAAACGGG